GAUGAACGCUGACAGAAUGCUUAACACAUGCAAGUCAACUUGAACUUCGGUUUGGGUGGCGGACGGGUGAGUCACGCGUAAAGAACUUGCCUCACAGCUAGGGACAACAUUUGGAAACGAAUGCUAAUACCUGAUAUUAUGAUUAUAUGGCAUCGUAUAAUUAUGAAAGCUAUCUGCGCUGUGAGAGAGCUUUGCGUCCCAUUAGCUAGUUGGAGAGGUAACAGCUCACCAAGGCGAUGAUGGGUAGCCGGCCUGGGAGGGUGAUCGGCCACAAGGGGACUGAGACACGGCCCUUACUCAUACGGGAGGCAGCAGUGGGGAAUAUUGGACAAUGGACCGAGAGUCUGAUCCAGCAAUUCUGUGUGCACGAUGAAGUUUUUCGGAAUGUAAAGUGCUUUCAGUUGGGAAGAAAAAAAUGACGGUACCAACAGAAGAAGUGACGGCUAAAUACGUG
rnacentral:rRNA from 1 species